GACGAACGCUGGCGGCGUGCCUAAUACAUGCAAGUAGAACGCUGAAACUUGGUGCUUGCACCGAGCGGCUGAGUUGCGAACGGGUGAGUAACGCGUAGGUAACCUGCCUGGUAGCGGGGGAUAACUAUUGGAAACGAUAGCUAAUACCGCAUAAGAGUAGAUGUUGCAUGACAUUUGCUUAAAAGGUGCAAUUGCACCACUACCAGAUGGACCUGCGUUGUAUUAGCUAGUUGGUGGGGUAACGGCUCACCAAGGCGACGAUACAUAGCCGACCUGAGAGGGUGGUCGGCCACACUGGGACUGAGACACGGCCCAGACUCCUACGGGAGGCAGCAGUAGGGAAUCUUCGGCAAUGGACGGAAGGCUGACCGAGCAACGCCGCGUGAGUGAAGAAGGUUUUCGGAUCGUAAAGCUCUGUUGUAAGAGAAGAACGAGUGUGAGGGUGGAAAGUUCACACUGUGACGGUAUCUUACCAGAAAGGGACGGCUAACUACGUG
rnacentral:rRNA from 1 species